UACGUAGGCAGCGAGCGUUGUUCGGAGUUACUGGGCGUAAAGAGUAUGUAGGCGGUUGCGUAAGUUUGGUGUGAAAUCUCCCGGCUUAACUGGGAGGGUGCGCCGAAAACUGCGUGGCUAGAGUGUGGGAGAGGAAAGCGGAAUUCCUGGUGUAGCGGUGAAAUGCGUAGAUAUCAGGAAGAACACCCGUGGCGAAGGCGGCUCUCUGGGACGGUACUGACGCUGAGACGCGAAAGCGUGGGGAGCGAACAGG
rnacentral:rRNA from 1 species